rnacentral:lncRNA from 1 species
UGCACUCCGUAUCUCAGCCAUGUACCGGUCAAAAUCUGAAACCGUAAGAGCAUAAGCAGCACCUUUCACCAAGUACAAGAGAUGUUUCUCUUUAUACUUUUUGACAAUGUUGUCUUGAAGGUGAUAAUAACAUAUUCCUCGGGUUGCCCAGGGAAACACCUUAUCACACGCACUUUAAAUGGCCGCGUGCCGGUCGGAGACUAUCACCAGAGGCUGCUCAUCAGAUACACAACUAGCCAAUUUUGUGAAAAACCAUUCCCAAGAAGGUUCAUCUUCAGCAUCUACGAUCCCAAAAGCCAAUGAAAAUAUCUGAAAAUUCUCAUUUUUUGCGGCUGCAACUAACAUAACACCUCCAUACUUCCCACU